GAGCAGGCGUUUGGAUCAUUUUGAAGAGGAGUUCUGGGUUAGAAAACAAAGGUUGUCUGGCUGUCGGCACUUGGUGUGUGACCAGUCCAUUCCUGGCCUCCGGCAAACCACAGGAGCCAUGUGAAGUAGGCUUUGAAUUACUGGAUUGUCGGGAAGACGGCAAAAGGAGGAGAGGGGAGAGGAAAAGGAAAGAGAACGAGAGAAGUGUCCUUGCCCAGCCUUAGGGUUUUCUCCAAUGAGUCAGUUCUUCACAUCAGGUGGCCAAAGCAUUGAUGGCCAAUCUGACCUGUGUCCCUAUAAAAAGAAGAAAAUACCCACAAGAGGAGCCACCUAGAGCAUCUGUGCACAGAAAGAAAAGACCAUGAGAGGAUGGCCAUCCACAAGCCAGGGAGAGGCCUCCGUGGGAACAGCCCAGCACCCUGCUGGCGUCUUGACCUUGGACUUCCUGCC
ensembl:lncRNA